rnacentral:lncRNA from 1 species
CGAUGUAGUAGUUGGUUCCUCCCACAACAAUCGGAAUCUUGUCUCGAGCAAAGAUAUCUUCAAUCAGAGCCACAGCUUUGUCUCUGAAAUCCACCACUGUGUAGUUGGAGACGAGAGGAUCCACAAAGCUGAUCAUGUGGUGUCUGCACAGGCGCUGCUCCUGGGGAGAAACCUUGUUUGUGAUGAUGUCCAAGCCCUUGUACACCUGCAUGGAGUCGGCGCUGAC